rnacentral:rRNA from 1 species
CCUACGGGUGGCAGCAGUGGGGAAUAUUGCACAAUGGGGGAAACCCUGAUGCAGCGACGCCGCGUGAGUGAAGAAGUAUUUCGGUAUGUAAAGCUCUAUCAGCAGCGAAGAAGAUGACUGUAUCUGACUACUAAGCGCUGGCUAACUACGUGCCAGCAGCCGCGGUAAUACGUAGGGGCCAAGCGUUAUCCGGAUUUACUGGGUGUAAAGGGAGCGUAGACGGCGAGACAAGUCAGAAGUGAAAGCCCAGGGCUCAACCCUGGGACUGCUUUUGAAACUGCCGGGCUGGAGGGCAGGAGAGGGGAGCGGAAUUCCUAGUGUAGCGGUGAAAGGCGUAGAUAUUAGGAGGAACACCGGAGGCGAAGGCGGCUUACUGGACUGUAACUGACGUUGAGGCUCGAAAGCGUGGGGAGCAAACAGGAUUAGAUACCCUUGUAGUC